GAGGGAAACAACCCAGACCGCCAGCUAAGGUCCCCAAGUACUAGUUAAGUGGGAAACGAUGUGGGAAGGCAUAGACAGCCAGGAGGUUGGCUUAGAAGCAGCCACCCUUUAAAGAAAGCGUAAUAGCUCACUGGUCGAGUCGGCCUGCGCGGAAGAUGUAACGGGGCUAAAACUAGUCACCGAAGCUGCGGAUGUGCGCGAAGGCGCACGUGGUAGGGGAGCGUUCUGUAGGCUGAUGAAGGUGCAUUGAGAAGUGUGCUGGAGGUAUCAGAAGUGCGAAUGCUGACAUGAGUAACGAUAAUGUGGGUGAAAAGCCCACACGCCGGAAGUCCCAGGUUUCCUGCACGACGUUAAUCGGAGCAGGGUGAGUCGGCCCCUAAGGCGAGGCUGAAGAGCGUAGUCGAUGGGAACCAGGUUAAUAUUCCUGGACUUUUUAUAAGUGGUGAAGUGGGGACGAAGAAGGCUAGGUGAGCCAGGCGUUGGUUGUCCUGGUACUUGCAUGUAGGGGGGAAGACUUGGCAAAUCCGGUUUUCCAUAACUCUGAGGUGCGAAGUGGUUCUGACCUUUUGGUACAGAGAAGUCAUUGAUGCCCGGCUUCCAGGAAAAGCUGCUAGCCAUAACUUAUAGAGAACCGUACCGCAAACCGACACAGGUGGACAGGUAGAGAAUACUAAGGCGCUUGAGAGAACUCGGGUGAAGGAACUAGGCAAAAUGGUACCGUAACUUCGGGAGAAGGUACGCCCUUUCUGGUGAUGGGAUUUACUUUCAGAGCUGGAGAGGGCCGCAGAGACCAGGUGGCUGCGACUGUUUAUUAAAAACACAGCACUCUGCAAAUUCGUAAGAAGACGUAUAGGGUGUGACGCCUGCCCGGUGCCGGAAGGUUAAUUGAUGGGGUUAUCUUCGGAGAAGCUCUUGAUCGAAGCCCCGGUAAACGGCGGCCGUAACUAUAACGGUCCUAAGGUAGCGAAAUUCCUUGUCGGGUAAGUUCCGACCUGCACGAAUGGCGUAACGAUGGCCACACUGUCUCCACCCGAGACUCAGUGAAAUUGAAAUCGCUGUGAAGAUGCAGUGUACCCGCGGCUAGACGGAAAGACCCCGUGAACCUUUACUAUAGUUUUGCACUGGACUUUGAUGAUGACUGUGUAGGAUAGGUGGGAGGCUGUGAAGUGAGGACGCUAGUUCUCAUGGAGCCGCCCUUGAAAUACCACCCUGUUGUUAUUGAGGUUCUAACUUGGUCCAGUAAUCCUGGAUGAGGACAGUGUAUGAUGGGUAGUUUGACUGGGGCGGUCUCCUCCCAAAGAGUAACGGAGGAGCACAAAGGUACCCUCGGUACGGUCGGACAUCGUACCAAGAGUGUAAAGGCAAAAGGGUGCUUGACUGCGAGAGUGACGGCUCGAGCAGGAACGAAAGUUGGUCUUAGUGAUCCGGUGGUUCUGAAUGGAAGGGCCAUCGCUCAACGGAUAAAAGGUACUCCGGGGAUAACAGGCUGAUACCGCCCAAGAGUUCAUAUCGACGGCGGUGUUUGGCACCUCGAUGUCGGCUCAUCACAUCCUGGGGCUGAAGCAGGUCCCAAGGGUAUGGCUGUUCGCCAUUUAAAGUGGUACGCGAGCUGGGUUUAGAACGUCGUGAGACAGUUCGGUCCCUAUCUGCCGUGGGCGUAGGAAAAUUGAGAGGAGCUGCUCCUAGUACGAGAGGACCGGAGUGGACGAACCUCUGGUGCACCGGUUGUCACGCCAGUGGCAUGGCCGGGUAGCUAAGUUCGGACGGGAUAACCGCUGAAAGCAUCUAAGCGGGAAGCCUCCCUCAAGAUGAGUUUUCCCAUGAAGCCCGUUGAAGACUACGACGUUGAUAGGCAAGGUGUGGAAGCGCAGUAAUGCGUGAAGCUAACUUGUACUAAUUGGCUGAUUGUCUUGACCA
rnacentral:rRNA from 1 species